ACUUUGCUUGUCUGUAUGUUUAUAAUACAGAUAUCACAUGGAAAAACAAGAUAAAAUAUGUAUCAUAGUAUGAUCUUUACCAUCACCAUAUGACAUAUCAAAUGGAUUUUUAAUGAUUUUCAAACCGUUACAAUGUAAUUUGGUUUGACAUAGUAUGGGAGUUUAUUUAUCAUGGUUCGUUUCUGGGGUCAGUUAGAGAGUAGUACUGAGACAUUACUGUUGGAGGACUUUGCUGCGGUCUGUUUCCAAGCCUCGGUCCGCUGUCUUUGGUACGACGUGUUGUAUCCAGCCUCGGUGUUGGUUUUAAUGGGAUGGGCCACUAUGUAUCUGUAUGCAUCCAUUGCACUGUACGGCCGAGUACUGACUUGUUUUCUUCUGCAAUACACAUUAGAUCAUGAUUAAUAUACAAAACUUAUAAAUAAAUGUCAAUGAUGAUUAAGAUGAAUGAUAUGGUGUAAAUAAGAAAACUGUGCUGGUGUAACCUACACUUAAAGUAUGUAUGGUACAUAUUCAUCCAUUAAUUUUAUUUAUAUACAUUGUCAAUGUACUAUACAUGUACAUGUACCAUACCAUUAUUUCAAUAUUGCUAAUCUUUAUAUGUAAUAACCUAUGCCAUAAGAUGUAUGUCUUGUGCAAAUAAAGAAUGAAUGAGUAAUC
rnacentral:sRNA from 1 species